UUCGUGAAAUUUCUUGGGGUCAACCGAUCUGCGGGGAAGGGGGAUCUGGGGAACGAAGGAUUUGGGGAUUAUUUCUAGGGUUCGUAGCAUAGGCGAUGCUCAAUUGGGGAAGAAAGGCUGCGCUCCAUGCUAGGGUUCCGGCGGGCAAGCUGCUAGAUCGGAGCGCCCGUUUCUCGUCAGGCUCCAAGCUGUUCGUCGGGGGCCUGUCCCAUGACACCAAUGAAGUUGCUCUCAAGGAUGCGUUCUCUCAGCAUGGCGAUGUUAUCCAAGUCAAAGUGAUAUGCCAUCCCGUGACCGGGCAAUCAAAAGGAUACGGUUUCGUCAAGUUCUCCUCGGAAAAAGACGCAGCUGCGGCAUUGGAGAAGAUGAGCGAUGAGGUGCUUGAUGGGAAGAACAUACGGGUGCAUUUUGCAAACAGUGGAUGACCUGCUACUGCUGCUAUAGAUGAGCAAGACAGGAUGUGCAGAGUGAGCCCCUAGCUGUGAGGAUAUGACAACCGACGAUAUGUAUCUGGAAUGGAAAGCACAGUUCAAAAUGGAAAGGCAUUUCGUGUGGAGCUUUUGAGGGAAGCGCACAUCUGAACCUUCAUUCGAGGUUGCCUGCUCACUCUGGAAUUUAUGCUUUUCCUACUGCUAGCUGUCUCAUGUAAAUGCAUCAGAAAGAAAUGCCGUGCUGCUAGCUAGCCAUGUUCAAAUCGAGAUUGUUUCAAGGCUAACCUUGCACCACCUACAUAUAUGUGCUGAUUUAGUACAACUUUGUGCUAAAUCAGCGACAAUUAAUAUGGAUCGGAAGGAGUAUCCUUUUUCUUCAUCUUUGGCUCUCUCACAGUCGCGGAGGAUAUUGGCUGCUUGGUGAAACCGUCUUCACAAAAUGGCCAUGCGAUAAGUAGCUUUGAUUUUACCCCAAGUAGUUAUUUAGUUAAUAAACCUAGUGCAGCAUGAUUCGUCUUGUACAUGCUCCACUUCUCAUCUAGAAUGGCAUGCUGAUCUAAACACAGCCAGCCAGCUUUGAGAAAACUGUUUUGAAGAUGAUCUGUCACAUCUUUCUGAACUUUGGUGAAAUUCUUAAACUAAUUAGAAUUUAGAAGUAUCAUUUACAUGUCUUUAGCCUGAAACCAUUAUAUUUAUAUAUAACUGUCCAUGCCGCCGAGGAGUAGAUAGGGCCCCGUCGUGUAGCGAUCCUGUAUGUAUGUAUCUUUGGAGUCCAAACUGGUAGUAAUCUGUAGUUUCGAUUGAUCUUGAAUCAUUGCUGAAUUGAAGCUGAAAAACUUGAUGGAAUAGCCAAUUCGAAUCUCCAUUGUGUGUAUCUUUCGUUUGGAUGUCUUGUUAUGUUGAUCCUUUUGCUUGUUCUUGAUCUUGAUGCCCAUGCGAACAAUCUUCUCUUGCUGCAAUGUUUCAGUUUUUUUUUUAAAUGAAUGUUUCAGGCAGUUUCACUUGAUUAGCCAUUCUUGAGGGGCAAUCUUGGAAUUGCUUGAUUUAGCAGGGUGCAAAUCGUGAAAAUUUUGUGUAGCGAGUGAUCUGAUUUGGGGGAAGGGGAUCAGAGAGGUCUACCAAUUUGGGGAAUACCUCUAGGGUCGUAGCAUAGGAGAUGCUCAAUUGGGCAAGCAAGGCUGAGCUACAUGCUAGGGUUCCUCUGGGCAAGCUGCUGGAUCGGGGCGCCACUUUCUCCUCAGGCUCAAAGUUGUUCGUCGGGGGUAUGAUUUGUACAUUUCAUUCUCCUCUGGUGUUCAGUUCCUAGUCAAUUCGUUUGGUGCUUGGACCCCAAUCUCUCCUAUGUUGAGAUCUGAUGCCAAUUUGAGAAUCUGCUUAGGAAGAGGGGAUUCAUGCUUGGGACAACCCUGUUAGUUAACACUGAGCACAUCCUGCGUAUUUGCGAAAGAUAAAGGACACUGAGCUAUCCGAGAAAUGUGCUGACUUAUGAAUGGUUGAUGAUAUUCUGAUGCCCUGCUGUUUCUUCCACUGAGUUUUUCAGGUCUGUCCUACAAUUCGAAUGAAGUUGCUCUCAAGGACGCCUUCUCUCAGCAUGGCGAUGUUAUCCAAGUGAAAGUAAUAUGCCAUCCUGUCACGGGGAGAUCCAAAGGAUACGUCUUGGUCAAGUUCUCUUCAUAAACUGAAGCAGCCGCGGCGUUGGAGAAGAUGAGUGACGAGGUGCUGAUGGAAAGAAAAUACGGGUGAAUUAUGCAAACAGCGGACAAUCUGCUGCUGUUUCUGCUGCUGCUGCUGCUGCAGAUGAGUAAGAACUUUGUCUUCAUUCUGAACAAACUGCAACAACACCUUAGUGGCUGAAUAGGAAGCGAAGAUGAUCCAUCAUAGGCACGAGAUCUUUAUCCCAGGGACACAUUAUUGGGCUCCAUUUGGCAUAAACAUUAUUUUUAAAAAGGGAACAAUCUGCAGUUGCCCCCCCAAAAGUUUUUAGCUAGGUUAGAAUAGCUUUGCCUUGCUUUUUGCCCUGACUGGGUCUGUGCUUUGCCUUGUCUUGGAUGUGUGUUUGUGAAAAGAAAGAGGGAACCAUCUGUCGGUAUAUGGCAUUAAUUGAUAGCGGGGGGAAUAACUGGAAUGAAUAUGCUUACGGAAUCUGGCAUAUACGUGAUUACAUUCA